rnacentral:rRNA from 1 species
UACGUAGGGUGCAAGCGUUAAUCGGAAUUACUGGUCGUAAAGCGUGCGCAGGCGGUUUUGUAAGUUUGUCGUGAAAUCCCCGGGCUCAACCUGGGAAUGGCGAUGAAGACUGCAAGGCUAGAAUCUGGCAGAGGGGGGUAGAAUUCCACGUGUAGCAGUGAAAUGCGUAGAGAUGUGGAGGAACACCGAUGGCGAAGGCAGCCCCCUGGGUCAAGAUUGACGCUCAUGCACGAA